UGCCUGCUAUAACUUCCCUUUCCAAACGAAGCGAAGGGGACGAGAGUGGCGGUGAGACGAUCUCGGAUCUCAAAUCUCAAAUGGGAGGCCUCCUUCCCGGUCAAGCCAUCCUCCAAUGCUCCGCCCCUCGCUUCACUGCUCGAACCAUCUCUACCUUAAGCUGCCCGCCUACGGAGCGUCGGCUGGUUCGAUAAGAUCAAGGUCGUCUUCAUCGGCAAGCUCUCGUCGGACCUCCAAAACCUCCUCCUCUCUCAUUGAUGGAGAAGGCAAGGACGCUGGGAUCGUUCAAGAGGUUCGAGGUGGGCCGGUGCGGCGAGGCUACCAUCUCCGACGCGUUCAAACAGCAUUCUGCGAUCCUCCGUUACGUCGGGGUCGUCGAUCCCUUUGCUGAGAUCUCAUUGAAGCCAACCGAGGAAUCAAUCAGGAAGUACAAGGCACAUUAUAUUGUGGAUGACAGAGUUCAGUAUGGAAUGAUGCUUGUAGCUGAGGGCCCAUGGUAUGAACUAUGAAGUUUAUUUGGACAAUUUGAGACUGUAUUCACUUGUGUUUUUGCUUGGGUUUCUUGAUGUUUACUAAUUUCUUGCAGCACAUGAAUGAUGGUUUCCUAUGGAAACUCUUUUGUCUUCAAUCUCCAGUUCAGCUCCUCUGACUGUACCAUCACGAACCAUACAGCAUAUGGUUCCACAAGUAAUUUUAUUGUUUUGCAUCUCAAUUCAUUAAAAUUUGGUACUGAAUAAUCUGAAGAGCAUUGAUCGUAGUACUCUACAAUGCACACACACGCUAGAGCAUGAACGAACAAUGAGAGAAAAGGGGAAAAGAACUUAAAAAUAGGUUAAUCUUUUCAGCUUGGUGACAUCAAUCUGUAUUCUCUGUUUUCUUGUAUGGAAGCAUGAAGGUGCUGUGGAAUGACUUGAAACAGAAAGAAGCUUGCAGAUCGAAUCCGUCCGGGAAGGUUGCAAACCUGGUAAGUUGUAACAUAAGUAUCUCCCCUUUAAGUUACAAAAAAGGCUGAGGUUUUGUUACUGCAUUAGUAAUUUCAGGUUGGAUAACCCAAUAAUAAUGUUAAAGGCAAAGUUGCUAUUUCAGGGUUGAACUGGUGCAAGUGCGAGGUUAGUCAAAAUUACAAGUGAAUGCUUCAAUUGUAGGUUUCAGAAGUUCAAAAUCAUGUGAACUUGUAUUUAUCAUGAAGCAAAAGUAAAGGUGGAUAAUUAGUUCAAAUUUACGUGGAAAUAACAAGGCUUCUUUGGACUUUUAUAUGCUAACUCAUUGGUGCCCUGAUCACAUAAUGUAGUUAGAUUUCAACUCUGGUGGGGCAUGAUACCCCUCUUCUUUUUGCCUUCAUCAUGGUAAUCUCUCUCCUUCAAUUACAUGGUAAGACCUUGAGCAUGAUAAAACACUGCUAAGGUGUGUAAUUAUACACAUUUCAUCUGUGUAAACAGGACUGAGGAAGACUUUUGGGAUCUCAUUUUCUUGUGCUUGAUGUGUGGGUCUCACGGUCAUUUCACCCAGAAAAGAUAAAAAGGAAAGCUCUCGCCUUCCUUCUAAUCUUCUGGUUCCGAGUAUGGCUGCUUUCCGUGGUGGGGUGUACUCAAUACUAUCUGCGGUCCUGCCACUACCAACGAACGGUAAGGGUUUCUCCAUCUGACAUAGAUUUCUGAACUUGAUUGAAUUGAAUGGUAGGACUGAGAAAAAAAAUCGAGAAUUGAUUCAUUACCUAGUUCGAUUCAUUUAUAGGAUUAGUUAUAUUAAUAGAAAGGACCGAUCAGUUCUAGUAACGCUCGUGAAUUUUGGUCGGAUUGGAUAAUAUUGAUGUGAUUUUGUAUUAUAGUUAAGAUUAUCUAAAUAUCUUUAACUUCGAUUUUUUAAUUAUAUGUUAUG